rnacentral:lncRNA from 1 species
GGCAAUAUUUUUCAUUUUACUCAAACAUAAACCUAUGAAAAGAUAACUGAAGAAACUGAAGUGUUUUUUUCCAGAGCGGGAUGGUUCUGAUGAGUGCUAGUUUUAUCAUAAUAAUAUUUUUUCUUUACUUAUGCUAACCAUACACUAGAAGAAUUCGAAAAGACUUUGAAAAGAUUUUUAAUAGACUCGUGAUUAAUCAGAUUUCACAUAUUUAUGUGGUAUUUAUGUAGUUAUUGGUUGAAUAAGUGGCUUUGUGUGUAAACUGCGGGUAUUUGGAGUCAGCUUUAGUCUUAAAAAGAAGAAAAGUAGGGAAUAAUCACUAUUUAUUGCAGGAUAUAUGUGUGAUUAAUCAGAUUUUAUACAUUUAUGUGGUAUUCAUGUAGUUAUUAAUUGAGUAAUUGGCUUUGUGUGGAAACUGCUAGUGUUUAGAGGCAGCUUCAGUCUUUAAAAGAAGCAAAGUGGAAAAUAAGCACGAUUAAUCGAAGAAAAUAGUUGUGAUUAAUCAGAUUUAAUGUAUUUAUGUGGUAUUUACGUAGUUCUUGGUUGAAUAAGUGGCUUUGUGUGUAAACUGCAGGUAUUUGGAGUCAGCUUUAGUCUUAAAAAGAAGAAAAGUGGGGAAUAAUCACGAUUAAUUGCAGGAAAUAUGUGUGAUUAAUCGUAUUAUAUAUAUUUAUGUGGUGUUUGUGUAGUUAUUGGUUGAAUAAUUAGCUUUGUGUGGAAACUGCGGGUGUGUGGAGGCGGGUACCGCUGGCCGGUGGGGAGUGCUCGAGUUCCCGGGGCGCUCCGGCCGCUGCAGCCGCCUGCCCUGAGGGAGAACCCGGCCGAGUUUCGGCUCAGCUGCAGAGCUUUGUGGAGCUAUUUAAAUGAGCGCCGUCCACGGCAACCGCGGGACACGGUCUUACAGCAGCUGCUGGGGUUAUGAGAGGUCUAAAGUGCUGGAGGAGACGUUAAUUGACAUGGCCUUCACGCAGACUGCUGCUGCUGCUGCUGCUACUUGGUGAGCGAACAUCCUUUCAUUCCACUUAGUCUAAUGGCAGCUCCUGAGGUGACAGCAUCAGCAACAGUAUGUAUGGGAUGAUGAAG